GACGAACGCUGGCGGCGUGCUUAACACAUGCAAGUCGAACGGAAAGGCCCUGCUUUUGUGGGGUGCUCGAGUGGCGAACGGGUGAGUAACACGUGAGUAACCUGCCCUUGACUUUGGGAUAACUUCAGGAAACUGGGGCUAAUACCGGAUAGGAGCUCCUGCUGCAUGGUGGGGGUUGGAAAGUUUCGGCGGUUGGGGAUGGACUCGCGGCUUAUCAGCUUGUUGGUGGGGUAGUGGCUUACCAAGGCUUUGACGGGUAGCCGGCCUGAGAGGGUGACCGGCCACAUUGCGCCUGAGAUACGGCCCAGACUCGUACGGGAGGCAGCAGUGGGGAAUAUUGCACAAUGGGCGGAAGCCUGAUGCAGCCACGCCGCGUGCGGGAUGACGGGCUUCGGGUUGUAAACCGCUUUCGCCUGUGACGAAGCGUUAGUGACGGUAAUGGGUAAAGAAGCCCCGGCUAACUACGUG
rnacentral:rRNA from 1 species